AGUGAACGCUGGCGGUAGGCCUAACACAUGCAAGUCGAACGGCAGCACAGUAAGAGCUUGCUCUUACGGGUGGCGAGUGGCGGACGGGUGAGGAAUACAUCGGAAUCUACUUUUUCGUAGGGGAUAACGUAGGGAAACUUACGCUAAUACCGCAUACGACCUACGGGUGAAAGCAGGGGAUCUUCGGACCUUGCGCGAUUGAAUGAGCCGAUGUCGGAUUAGCUAGUUGGCGGGGUAAAGGCCCACCAAGGCGACAAUCCGUAGCUGGUCUGAGAGGAUGAUCAGCCACACUGGAACUGAGACACGGUCUAGACUCCUACGGGAGGCAGCAGUGGGGAAUAUUGGACAAUGGGCGCAAGCCUGAUCCAGCCAUACCGCGUGGGUGAAGAAGGCCUUCGGGUUGUAAAGCCCUUUUGUUGGGAAAGAAAAGCAGCAGGUUAAUACCCCGCUGUUCUGACGGUACCCAAAGAAUAAGCACCGGCUAACUUCGUG
rnacentral:rRNA from 1 species